rnacentral:tRNA from 1 species
GCUCUCGUAGUGUAGUGGUUAUCACGUCUGCUUUACACGCAGAAGGUCCCAGGUUCGAUCCCCGGCGAGAGCA